rnacentral:rRNA from 1 species
AUGGUCACUGGCCAGGCCAGCGUGGCGUCUUACGUGUACAGUUUCGGCCUCCUCCUCCUCGAGAUCGCCUGCGGACGAACGCCCGUCGUCCUCCUCCAGGAGAAGUCCGCGGUGCACAUCUCGCAGCAGGUCUGGGAGCUGUACAGCGAAGGAGCCGUCCUCGACGCUGCGGACAGGCGCCUAGAGGGGGAGUUCGACCAGCGGGAGAUGGAGGCGGUGUUGGUCGUCGGGCUCUGGUGCGUGCACCCUGACCGGACCGUCAGGCCGUCAGCCAGGCAAGCCGUCAACGCGCUGCGGUUCGAGGCGCCACUGCCGAGCCUCCCCGCGAGCAUGCCUGCCGCCAGAUACGGUUUCUCCGGUUCAGGUUCCGCGUCUCUGGUCGUGACAGCCAGCAGCGCCAGCACCAUGUACACAAAUGGCGGAUCCAGCAAUGCCAGCACCAUGUCUUUUUAG